ACGCAAAAGGUUGUUUGAAGUGGGCUUACACAUGUUUCCAUAGCAGCAGUCAUCUUAGUGAUUCCUCUCGUUUUCGGACUUUUUUUUUCUUUUGCUUCCCUAUUCCUCGCGGAUGCAGGAUUAAACAAACAGCAUAUUUAGGUCAAGGAAAGAGAUGUUUGCUAAUAUAGAUGCUAGGCUAAGCAUUCUGGGAGAGAGGUUUCUUGCAGCAGAUGAACAUUCUUUGUGCCUUCCAGCAGCGUCUGCAGCAGGGUGGCUGUCUGGCACCGUCUUUUUCAUUUUGGGCAGGUUCUGAGAUUCAGAACAAUCCCAAGCAAAUCCCAGGAGCCGGCAGUUUUCCAGUAACCACAUGUAAAUCUGCUUAUUUGUUUGUGGUACUAACAGUGAAGCAAUCUAUUGGAAAAACAAUACUUUAAAGGUUUUGGUGCAUCUGAAGGUGUGUCAUCUUGUUCUUGCACCACCCCUCCUGUUUUACACUUGGAGCUUGGAUUUUUUUGUCAGGCUGCUGGGCAGAAGCGGAAUCUAGUACAACAGCUCGGAGCUUCCCUUCUGUUCUGGUGUCGGCAACUGCCUGUCACGAAGAUGGUGCAGUGGGAGCCUGCUCUGAAGAGCCAAGGAAGAUGAUGUGGAAAUGGAGUAGAGAUUGCUAGAGACCUGAACAUCCACACCUUGGGGAUGGGUUGCACUACUAGUGUGAUUCUGUUUAAAGGCAUCCGCACCGUUUUUGAAAGAAACUGUGCUUAUAUGUGCAAACAGCAAGGAGAGAAUAAUGCCCUUGAAUACACAGCAUACAAUUGGACAAAAGAAGAUUCAGAACUAUUGAUCUCCUCCUGUCUGGCCAAACCAAAGCUGAUUGAGCCACUCGACUAUGAAAAUGUCAUCGUCCAGAAGAAGACACAGAUCCUGAACGACUGUUUAAGGGAGAUGCUGCUCUUCCCUUAUGAUGACUUUCAGACGGCCAUCCUGAGACGACAGGGGCGGUACGUAUGCUCCACCAUCCCUGCCAACGCACAGCAGGAAGCUCAGAGCUUAUUUGUUACAGAGUGCAUCAAAACCUAUAACUCUGACUGGCAUCUUGUGAACUACAAAUAUGAAGAUUACUCAGGAGAGUUUCGACAGCUUCCAAACAAAGUGGCCAAGUUGGAUAAACUUCCAGUUCAUGUCUAUGAAGUUGAUGAGGAGGUGGACAAAGAUGAGGAUGCUGCUUCCCUCGGCUCUCAGAAGGGUGGGAUCACCAAGCACGGUUGGCUGUACAAAGGCAACAUGAACAGUGCAAUAAGCGUGACCAUGAGGUCGUUUAAAAGACGAUUUUUCCACUUGAUUCAACUUGGUGAUGGGUCCUACAAUUUGAAUUUUUAUAAAGAUGAAAAGAUCUCCAAGGAACCAAAAGGAUCAAUAUUUCUGGAUUCCUGUAUGGGUGUGGUUCAGAACAACAAAGUCAGGCGUUUUGCUUUUGAGCUCAAGAUGCAGGACAAAAGUAGUUACCUUUUGGCAGCAGACACUGAAGCGGAAAUGGAAGAGUGGAUCACAACUCUGAACAAGAUUCUCCAGCUCAACUUUGAAGCUGCAAUGCAAGAAAAGCGAAACGGAGACUCUCAUGAAGAUGAUGAGCAAAGCAAAAUAGAAGGUUCCGUUUCCGGUUUAGAUAGCUACCUGCCUGAACUUGCCAAGAGUACCAGAGAAGCAGAAAUCAAACUGAAAAGUGAAAGCAGAGUUAAACUUUUUUACUUGGACCCAGAUGCUCAGAAGCUUGACUUCUCAUCAGCUGAGCCAGAAGUGAAGCCAUUUGAAGAAAAGUUUGGAAAAAGAAUUCUUGUCAAGUGCAAUGAUUUAUCUUUCAAUUUGCAAUGCUGUGUUGCUGAAAAUGAAGAAGGACCCACUACAAAUGUCGAGCCUUUCUUUGUUACUCUAUCCCUGUUUGACAUAAAAUACAACCGAAAGAUUUCUGCCGAUUUCCACGUGGACCUGAACCAUUUCUCAGUGAGGCAGAUGCUGGCCACCACAUCCCCGUCUCUGAUGAACGGCGGCAGGCAGAGCUCGCCUGCCCUGCAGGACAUCCUUCACGAAGCCGCCAUGCAGUAUCCGAAGCAGGGAAUAUUUUCAGUCACGUGCCCUCAUCCUGAUAUAUUUCUUGUGGCUAGAAUUGAAAAAGUGCUUCAGGGGAGCAUCACACAUGGUGCUGAGCCAUACAUGAAAAGUUCAGACUCUUCUAAGGUCGCUCAGAAGGUGCUGAAGAAUGCCAAGCAGGCAUGCCAAAGACUAGGGCAGUACAGAAUGCCAUUUGCUUGGGCAGCAAGGACGUUGUUUAAGGAUGCAUCUGGAAACCUUGACAAAAAUGCCAGAUUUUCUGCUCUCUACAAGCAAGACAGCAAUAAGCUAUCCAAUGAAGACAUGCUCAAGUUACUUGCAGACUUUCGGAAACCUGAGAAGAUGGCUAAACUCCCCGUGAUUUUGGGCAAUCUAGACAUUACAAUUGAUAGUGUUUCCUCAGACUUUCCUAAUUAUGUCAAUUCAUCAUACAUUCCUACGAAGCAAUUUGAAACCUGUACUAAAAUGCCAAUCACGUUUGAGGUAGAGGAAUUUGUGCCCUGCAUACCAAAACACACUCAGCCAUACACCAUCUACAACCACCACCUUUAUGUUUAUCCUAAGUCCUUGAAAUAUGACAGUCAAAAGUCUUUUGCCAAGGCCAGAAAUAUUGCUAUUUGCAUUGAAUUCAAAGAUUCAGAUGAGGAAGACUCUCAGCCUCUGAAGUGCAUUUAUGGCAGACCUGGUGGGCCAGUAUUCACAAGAAGCGCCUUUGCUGCAGUUCUACACCAUCACCAAAACCCAGAAUUUUAUGAUGAGAUUAAAAUAGAAUUGCCCACCCAGCUACAUGAAAAGCACCACUUGCUGUUCACAUUCUUCCAUGUCAGCUGUGAUAAUUCAAGCAAAGGAAGCACAAAGAAGAAGGAUGUUGUUGAAACACAAGUUGGAUAUUCCUGGCUUCCUCUCCUGAAAGAUGGAAGGGUGGUGACUAGCGAGCAGCACAUCCCUGUCUCAGCCAAUCUCCCAUCCGGCUACCUUGGCUACCAGGAGCUUGGGAUGGGCAGGCAUUAUGGUCCAGAAAUUAAAUGGGUAGAUGGAAGCAAGCCACUGCUGAAAGUUUCAACUCAUCUGGUUUCCACAGUGUAUACUCAGGAUCAGCACUUCCAUAAUUUUUUCCAGUACUGUCAGAAAACCGAAUCCGGAGCCCAAGCCUUAGGGAGCGAACUUGUAAAAUACCUGAAGAGCCUGCACGCGAUGGAAGGUCACGUGAUGAUCGCCUUCUUGCCCACCAUCCUAAACCAGCUAUUCCGUGUCCUCACCCGAGCAACCCAGGAGGAAGUCGCCGUCAACGUGACACGGGUCAUUAUUCAUGUCGUUGCCCAGUGCCAUGAGGAAGGAUUGGAGAGCCACUUGAGGUCAUAUGUUAAGUAUGCUUAUAAGGCUGAGCCGUAUAUUGCUUCCGAAUACAAGACGGUGCAUGAAGAGCUGACCAAAUCCAUGACCACAAUUCUCAAGCCUUCUGCCGAUUUCCUCACCAGCAACAAACUACUUAAGUAUUCAUGGUUUUUCUUUGAAGUUUUGAUCAAAUCCAUGGCUCAGCAUUUGAUAGAGAACUCCAAAGUUAAGUUAUUGCGAAACCAGAGAUUUCCUGCAUCCUAUCAUCAUGCAGUGGAAACUGUUGUGAAUAUGCUGAUGCCACACAUCACUCAGAAGUUUCGAGAUAACCCGGAGGCAUCUAAGAAUGCGAAUCAUAGCCUGGCUGUGUUCAUCAAGAGAUGUUUCACCUUCAUGGAUAGGGGCUUUGUCUUUAAGCAGAUCAACAACUACAUCAGCUGCUUUGCUCCUGGAGAUCCUAAGACCCUCUUUGAAUACAAAUUUGAAUUUCUCCGUGUGGUGUGCAAUCAUGAACAUUAUAUUCCAUUGAAUUUACCAAUGCCAUUUGGAAAAGGCAGGAUUCAAAGAUACCAAGAUCUCCACCUUGACUACGCAUUAACGGAUGAGUUCUGCAGAAACCACUUCUUGGUGGGACUGUUACUGAGGGAGGUGGGGACCGCCCUCCAGGAGUUCAGGGAGGUCCGGCUGAUUGCCAUUGGUGUGCUUAAGAACCUGCUGAUAAAGCAUUCUUUUGAUGACAGAUAUGCUUCCAGGAGCCAUCAGGCAAGGAUAGCCACUCUCUACCUGCCUCUGUUCGGUCUGCUGAUUGAGAAUGUCCAGCGGAUCAACGUGAGAGAUGUGUCUCCCUUCCCCGUGAACCCUGGCAGUACUGUGAAGGAGGAAUCCCUUACUUUGCCAGCCGUGAACCCGAUAGUGACACCGCAGAAGUCUGGGAGCACGCUGGAUGCCAGUCUGCACAAGGACCUCUUUGGUGCCAUCUCUGGCAUUGCUUCUCCGUAUACAAACUCAACUCCAAACAUCAGUAGUGUGAGAAAUGCUGAUUCAAGAGGAUCCCUCAUAAGCACAGAUUCCGGGAACAGCCUUCCAGAAAGGAAUAGUGAGAAGAGCAAUUCCCUGGAUAAGCACCAGCAAAGUGGCACUUUGGGAAAUUCUGUCGUUCGCUGUGACAAACUUGACCAGUCUGAGAUUAAGAGCCUGCUGAUGUGUUUCCUCUACAUCUUAAAAAGCAUGUCUGAUGAUGCUUUGUUUACAUAUUGGAACAAGGCCUCAACAUCUGAACUUAUGGAUUUUUUUACAAUAUUGGAAGUCUGCUUGCACCAGUUCCAGUACAUGGGGAAGCGAUAUAUCGCCAGGAACCAGGAGGGGUUGGGACCCAUAGUUCAUGAUCGAAAAUCUCAGACAUUGCCUGUUUCCCGUAACAGAACAGGAAUGAUGCAUGCCAGAUUGCAGCAGCUGGGCAGCCUGGAUAACUCUCUCACUUUUAACCACAGCUAUGGCCACUCGGACGCAGAUGUUCUCCACCAGUCGUUACUUGAAGCCAAUAUUGCUACUGAGGUGUGCCUGACAGCUCUGGACACCCUCUCUCUAUUUACACUGGCAUUUAAGAACCAGCUCCUGGCUGACCACGGACAUAAUCCCCUCAUGAAAAAGGUUUUUGACGUCUACCUGUGCUUUCUUCAAAAACAUCAGUCUGAAACGGCUUUAAAAAAUGUCUUCACUGCCUUAAGAUCAUUAAUCUAUAAGUUUCCCUCAACGUUCUAUGAGCGGAGAGCGGACAUGUGCGCAGCCCUGUGCUAUGAGGUCCUGAAAUGCUGCAACUCCAAGCUGAGCUCCAUCAGGACUGAGGCCUCCCAGCUGCUGUACUUCCUGAUGAGGAACAACUUCGACUACACUGGCAAGAAGUCCUUUGUCCGGACGCAUCUGCAGGUCAUUAUUUCCGUCAGCCAACUGAUAGCAGACGUUGUUGGCAUUGGGGGAACCAGAUUCCAGCAGUCCUUGUCUAUCAUCAACAACUGUGCCAACAGUGACAGGCUCAUCAAGCACACCACCUUCUCCUCGGACGUGAAGGACCUGACCAAAAGGAUCCGCACAGUUCUGAUGGCCACGGCCCAGAUGAAGGAGCAUGAGAAUGACCCCGAGAUGCUGGUGGACCUCCAGUACAGCCUGGCCAAGUCCUAUGCCAGCACCCCCGAGCUCCGGAAGACGUGGCUGGACAGCAUGGCCCGGAUCCAUGUCAAAAACGGGGACCUGUCCGAGGCAGCAAUGUGCUAUGUCCAUGUCACAGCCCUGGUGGCAGAAUAUCUCACACGGAAAGAAGCAGGCCUAGCCCUCCAGCUGGAGCCGUCCUUCCUCCCCUCCAGCCACAGCACCUGCCAGAGGAGGCGCCGGGGAGGCAUGUUUAGACAAGGAUGCACAGCUUUCAGGGUGAUUACCCCGAACAUAGAUGAGGAGGCCUCCAUGAUGGAAGACGUUGGCAUGCAGGACGUCCACUUCAACGAGGAUGUGCUCAUGGAGCUCCUGGAACAGUGUGCAGACGGACUCUGGAAGGCCGAGCGCUAUGAGCUGAUCGCCGACAUUUAUAAGCUCAUCAUCCCCAUCUACGAGAAGCGGAGGGAUUUUGAGAGGCUGGCCCAUCUGUAUGACACACUGCACCGAGCCUACAGCAAGGUGACCGAGGUCAUGCACUCAGGCCGAAGGCUUCUGGGGACAUACUUCCGAGUAGGCUUCUUCGGACAGGCAGCGCAAUACCAGUUUACAGACAGUGAAACAGAUGUGGAGGGAUUCUUUGAAGAUGAAGAUGGAAAGGAGUAUAUCUACAAGGAACCCAAACUCACGCCUCUGUCAGAAAUUUCUCAGAGACUCCUUAAACUUUACUCAGAUAAAUUUGGUUCUGAAAACGUCAAAAUGAUACAAGAUUCUGGCAAGGUCAACCCGAAGGAUCUGGAUUCCAAGUAUGCGUAUAUCCAGGUGACUCAUGUGAUCCCAUUCUUUGAUGAGAAGGAAUUGCAAGAAAGAAAAACGGAGUUUGAAAGAUCUCACAACAUUCGCCGCUUCAUGUUUGAGAUGCCCUUCACCCAGACUGGGAAAAGGCAGGGAGGCGUCGAAGAGCAGUGCAAACGGCGCACCAUACUGACAGCCAUACACUGCUUCCCUUACGUGAAGAAGCGGAUCCCCGUCAUGUACCAGCACCACACGGACCUGAACCCCAUCGAGGUGGCCAUUGACGAGAUGAGUAAGAAGGUGGCCGAGCUCCGGCAGCUGUGCUCCUCGGCCGAAGUGGACAUGAUCAAACUGCAGCUCAAACUCCAGGGCAGUGUGAGCGUCCAGGUCAAUGCCGGUCCACUAGCGUAUGCCCGAGCUUUCUUAGACGACACAAACACAAAGAGAUAUCCUGACAAUAAAGUGAAGUUGCUUAAAGAAGUUUUCAGGCAAUUUGUGGAAGCUUGCGGUCAAGCCUUAGCAGUAAAUGAACGGCUGAUCAAAGAGGACCAGCUAGAGUAUCAGGAGGAAAUGAAGGCCAACUACAGGGAAAUGACGAGAGAGCUUUCUGAAAUCAUGCACGAGCAGGAUUACAUAUGUGGGCUCAGUGGUCAUCAGGGGAGACAGCUGCCCAGGGAACUGAGUGAAUCUCAAAGGCGAUCAUCUCCUAUUGCUUCUGGAGGGGUCUGUUCUCCAUCAACCACAGCGACUUCUUCUGAGUCACGGACUCAGUCUUCAUGAUUAGUGUUGGCACCUUGAUAGCACACGACUGCUUCUGUCUGUUCCCUACGGUACUGUCUUUCAUUCUCGCAAAAUGGAAGCCAAGACCAUUUGUGUCAGUUAACGUACCAUGUGAUGAUUUAGUGAGAAGGAUUCUGUUGUAGGAAACUCACUUAAAUGUCUGAGCUUUAACUUGCUUUUUUCUCUCCUCCAUGCUCACACGUUCAGAUGGGAUGGUAAUGUCAUUUUUUAAUUUUAUUUCUCUGGAUCUUGAUAACUGGCUCACAUAAAGUUAUUACUGAGUUUGGGCAACUGCAGACAUUGACGUAAUGACCAUGCACGUGCAAAAAGAAGCCCUCUUCUGGGCAUUUAGAAAAGUAGGAAAACAAAACUGAAUAAACAUGUGAAUCAUUAAGCAGAAAGAGAAGGUCUCAUGGGAACAAGUUUUUGGAGAAAGCUCAAGGUCUUUUCCAUGGGGCCUCCAGACAGGAUGGAGAGCUUGGUCAGUGGGUGCCAGCACUUGGCACUAGAAAAGAUGAAAGUAGGAAGAAAACUGUGGGCUGAGAAUAUUAAAAUAAACUUCCAGAUUGUAUGGACACAAUGCCAUGCCGUGCUCUAAACUACACCUUGAACUUUCCAUUAUCUCAACAACUAUGAAGAUUAAACUUUGAACCCUUGAGCAAAAAGAGUCAUGACCUGGAGUAGACUUGCUUUUGGAUUUUCCAGGGGAGCCUCUGAGUGUGUAUGUUCUUCUCAGUUUCCACCUGGCAAUAGCCCAAGUCUUGCACUUAGAAUUCUUCCCUGCAUUACUGAGCGUGAAAGAGACUUGAUCAGGGCCAGCGAGGCAGCCACACUCUUGCUCCCAGGGUAGAAAUCUGUAAGACCCUAAGAGAAGGAGCUGGUAGAGAACACCGACGCUCCAGAUUCAAUUAAAAAAGACUUUUCCAGGGGACAAGGCCAGGUCAUGUCCCCAUCAAGUAUGUGUAGGAUAGGCCUCAAGGUGCCUUAUAACCUGGUGAGGUUAGAAGACUCUCUACUCACUAACCUGGAAAGGAAACAAAACAUGUUGUUCUUGACUUUCUCCUUAAAAUCCUGAUCUGAAAAACGUCAUUUAUGAGGUGAGCUAACACGCUCCCUCUGCAAACCACCAAAGCCAAGCUCUCUGAGGGCACCACCACUCACAGUAACAGUGGCCACUGGAUGAUAAAUGUGAGAAGUGUCAUUUGGAGCAGUUUACGCUUGGGUAACCUUGUGUUUCUGUACCUCGAGAUUUGCCCCCUGGAGGAGAAGACCAGCGUUUUGCCGAAUUCCCUUCACAUCUUCAACGCCAUCAGUGGGACCCCAACAAGCACGCUGGUUCACGGCAUGACCAGCUCGUCCUCCGUGGUGUGACGUCAUCUCGUGGACCGCGUGUGGGGACUUGCUUUGUCAUUUGCAAACUCAGGAUGAUCUCCAAAGCUACUCACUGGGCACAUGCCAAGGCCCGGGGAAGCGGAGCCCAAGGAGCAGUCGAGGGGAACGCGCGAGAAGGGAAAGAAAGAGCCGCGUUAUUUCAUAGCAGAUGUUCUGCAGGGUCGUAGGAGAGCACACAUAUUUUUUUAAACCUUGCUGGCAAUAGUCAACAUUUUCAUUAUGUCUUAACAGAGGUCUCCAUCUUUAUCAUCUCCCUGCUUGCUUUGAAGGUGAGUACUCUGGGAUAAGAUGGUCAUUUAUCCCAGCAAUGCAUCAGCGGCCAGGUGUGCCCACACUGCCUGUGGCCUACAUCAUCAUAAACACUGAAGCCGAGUCAAGUGAUGCCUCAGACUGCAGGUGCUGGUCCUGCCUGUGGUGUGCCCAGGGACCCAGCGGAGGAGCCACUCAGCCCCAGAGUUCCAGUGAUGGAAGAAAGAGGAGUCUUUCACAAGAAAUAAAAUAGCUGGUUUUCCUACUUGAAGAGUUUUGGAGGCUGUCUUUUUUCAUAACCAGUUGAGGAAGGAAAUCAUGAUGCUGUGUACAUCCUGAGCACCCAGAUACCAAGGAUCUUAUGGUGUCUUUGGAACUUCUCUAUCAGUGGGCAAGGCUGUAUUUUACAGAUGGCGACAAGGUCAUGAAGAAGAGAUGGUGAGGAGUUACGACAACUCACCAGGCUGCAGCCCAUUCAUUAGUGGAUCCAGACUUAGGGCUUGAGAAGAUUCUCUGCAUUUGCCCUGAGUCUCUGACAUGUCGGCCCCGUGUAAUAAACCUUGACUCUCCCUAACACCAGCAGGGAUAGGUAUAAGAGUUUGUCUCCCUUGUCACCGAGCUGGAUUUCCUGGUCACAAAUGCCUCAUUUAGAAGCCAUAAAAUGCAGGUCAUCGUGCAGUAAGAUAAAUGUAUCUAGAAAGAGCUAACUUGCUACCUUGUGGUUAAACUUGGGAAGUAAUUUGUACAGAUUUCAUGUCAGAUAAGAUUCAGCUUGGAAGGUGGCCAACCAUCACUAAUUACAACAGUGGAGAAAGGAACCAUCUCUAAGAUGAAGACAUCUAUUGACCCUGCACUGAAACACAUUCAUAUCAAUUAAAAACCUCAUUUAGUUUAUGCAUAAAAUUUUAAUUUUGGUAUAAAUUACACAUUAAAGUAGCAGUUUAUUGGGGAAAAUUGUGUUUUUUAACAUUAAGAAAUCUUUAUUGCUAAUUUUCAAUAAAUUUUUAAAUGUUUUCCA